rnacentral:rRNA from 1 species
GCAGUCGAGCGGAUGACGGGAGCUUGCUCCUUGAUUCAGCGGCGGACGGGUGAGUAAUGCCUAGGAAUCUGCCUGGUAGUGGGGGACAACGUUUCGAAAGGAACGCUAAUACCGCAUACGUCCUACGGGAGAAAGCAGGGGACCUUCGGGCCUUGCGCUAUCAGAUGAGCCUAGGUCGGAUUAGCUAGUAGGUGAGGUAAUGGCUCACCUAGGCGACGAUCCGUAACUGGUCUGAGAGGAUGAUCAGUCACACUGGAACUGAGACACGGUCCAGACUCCUACGGGAGGCAGCAGUGGGGAAUAUUGGACAAUGGGCGAAAGCCUGAUCCAGCCAUGCCGCGUGUGUGAAGAAGGUCUUCGGAUUGUAAAGCACUUUAAGUUGGGAGGAAGGGUUGUACGCUAAUACCGUGCAAUUUUGACGUUACCGACAGAAUAAGCACCGGCUAACUCUGUGCCAGCAGCCGCGGUAAUACAGAGGGUGCAAGCGUUAAUCGGAAUUACUGGGCGUAAAGCGCGCGUAGGUGGUUCGUUAAGUUGGAUGUGAAAGCCCCGGGCUCAACCUGGGAACUGCAUCCAAAACUGGCGAGCUAGAGUAUGGUAGAGGGUGGUGGAAUUUCCUGUGUAGCGGUGAAAUGCGUAGAUAUAGGAAGGAACACCAGUGGCGAAGGCGACCACCUGGACUGAUACUGACACUGAGGUGCGAAAGCGUGGGGAGCAAACAGGAUUACAUACCCUGGUAGUCCACGCCGUAACGAUGUCAACUAGCCGUUGGAAUCCUUGA